GGGGCAAAAAAGUGUAGAGUUAGAGAAGAGGAUAAAAAAGGAAUGUGUUCUGGGAGUUCUCUCGUUGUAGCUACAGAAAUUUGUGUGAAAACAAAAUUGAAAAGUGGAACACAGAAUGAAUAACUUACAAUGGUCCUGCCAAAGUUGUUGCUGCCCUCAUUGAUUCUAUCAAGCUCAAUGUAUGUUGACACAUUUUCAGUUGACCAGAGACUUAUUCGUGGUACAGAGACAGGAAGGUUCAGUUCAGAUGUGUCGAGAAGUUCAAAAUACACAACCUAGGUGUGGGUAAUCAUAAAGGGAAAGGUGACAUUAAAUGAGACAAUUGUACAAUAACACGUAAUAAAAUCAUCUAUUAGAAAAUUCUAUAGAACAAAACAUUAAGGUUAAUGAAUCUAGUUUGAUAAUUUGGAACAACUUUAUUUUAUUCCGAACUGGAAAUAAACAAUGAUGAGUGUGGAUGUUUCUUUGCAUUGCUACAAUGGCAUUGUUUUUCUAUAUGUGUAAUAAUAUUGAUACCAGUGUGGUCAUGAAAAGUUUGC
rnacentral:lncRNA from 1 species